rnacentral:rRNA from 1 species
CAUGCAAGUCGAACGAGCGAGAGAGAGCUUGCUUUCUCAAGCGAGUGGCGAACGGGUGAGUAACGCGUGAGGAACCUGCCUCAAAGAGGGGGACAACAGUUGGAAACGACUGCUAAUACCGCAUAAGCCCACGGGUCGGCAUCGACCAGAGGGAAAAGGAGCAAUCCGCUUUGAGAUGGCCUCGCGUCCGAUUAGCUAGUUGGUGAGGUAAUGGCCCACCAAGGCAACGAUCGGUAGCCGGACUGAGAGGUUGAACGGCCACAUUGGGACUGAGACACGGCCCAGACUCCUACGGGAGGCAGCAGUGGGGAAUAUUGCACAAUGGGGGAAACCCUGAUGCAGCGACGCCGCGUGGAGGAAGAAGGUCUUCGGAUUGUAAACUCCUGUUGUUGAGGAAGAUAAUGACGGUACUCAACAAGGAAGUGACGGCUGACUACGUGCCAGCAGCCGCGGUAAAACGUAGGUCACAAGCGUUGUCCGGAAUUACUGGGUGUAAAGGGAGCGCAGGCGGGAAGACAGGUUGGAAGUGAAAUCUAUGGGUUCAACCCAUAAACUGCUUUCAAAACUGUUUUUCUUGAGUAGUGCAGAGGUAGGCGGAAUUCCCGGUGUAGCGGUGGAAUGCGUAGAUAUCGGGAGGAACACCA